rnacentral:rRNA from 1 species
GUUUGAUUCUGGCUCAGGAUGAACGCUAGCGGCAGGCUUAACACAUGCAAGUCGAGGGGCAGCGAGAGAGUAGCAAUACUUUUGUCGGCGACCGGCGCAAGGGUGCGUAACGCGUGAGCAACAUGCCCGUAACAGGCGGAUAGACCGUGGAAACGCGGCGUAAACCGCCAUAAGUUGGGAGUAGGCAUCUAUUUCAAAUGAAAUCUUCGGAGGUUACGGAUUGGCUCGCGAGACAUUAGCCAGUUGGCGGGGUAACGGCCCACCAAAGCUACGAUGUCUAGGGGUUCUGAGAGGAAGGUCCCCCACACUGGAACUGAGACACGGUCCAGACUCCUACGGGAGGCAGCAGUGAGGAAUAUUGGACAAUGGAUGGAAAUCUGAUCCAGCCAUGCCGCGUGCAGGAAGACGGUCCUAUGGAUUGUAAACUGCUUUAGCAUGGGAGCAAUAAGGUGUACGCGUACACCGAUGAGAGUACCAUGAGAAUAAGCACCGGCUAACUCCGUGCCAGCAGCCGCGGUAAUACGGAGGGUGCAAGCGUUAUCCGGAUUUAUUGGGUUUAAAGGGUGCGUAGGCUGUAAGUCAAGUCAGCGGUGAAAAGUCGGGGCUAAACCUUGAGGGUGCCGUUGAAACUGAUUUACUAGAAUGUGGAUGAUGCCGGCGGAAUGUGUCAAGUAGCGGUGAAAUGCAUAGAUAUGACACAGAAGGCCGAUUGCGAAGGCAGCUGGCAAAGGCACGAUUGACGCUGAGGCACGAAAGUGCGGGGAUCGAACAGGAUUAGAUACCCUGGUAGUCCGCACAGUAAACGAUGAUAACUCACUGUCGGCGAUAUAAUGUCGGUGGUCAAGAGAAAUCGAUAAGUUAUCCACCUGGGGAGUACGACCGCAAGGUUGAAACUCAAAGGAAUUGACGGGGGCCCGCACAAGCGGAGGAACAUGUGGUUUAAUUCGAUGAUACGCGAGGAACCUUACCCGGGCUCGAACGGUACACUAACGACACAGAGAUGUGAAGGCCGCAAGGGGUGUAUCGAGGUGCUGCAUGGUUGUCGUCAGCUCGUGCCGUGAGGUGUCGGCUUAAGUGCCAUAACGAGCGCAACCCUUGCUGUCAGUUACCACCAGGUUAAGCUGGGGACCCUGACAGGACUGCCGCCGUAAGGUGUGGGGAAGGUGGGGAUGACGUCAAAUCAGCACGGCCCUUACGUCCGGGGCGACACACGUGUUACAAUGGGCCAUACAGAGGGCAGCCAGGCGGCGACGCCGCGCAAAUCCCAAAAGUGGCUCUCAGUUCGGACUGGAGUCUGCAACUCGACUCCACGAAGUUGGAUUCGCUAGUAAUCGCGCAUCAGCCAUGGCGCGGUGAAUACGUUCCCGGGCCUUGUACACACCGCCCGUCAAGCCAUGGAAGCCGGGGGUGCUUGAAGGUUGUGACCGUAAGGAGCGACCUAGGGCAAAACUGGUAACUGGGGCUAAGUCGUAACAAGGUA